CUGCAGUUUAUUUAGCCAACCAAUGUCUGCAGUGCUGUUCUGGUGUUCAAUGGCUGCAGACAUUGACUGGUUGUGUAUGAGGCCAGCUGGGAGGUGCUGGCCCUUUUAAGGGACUGUUGAGACAACC